rnacentral:rRNA from 1 species
UACGAACCGAGCGAACGUUAUUCGGAAUCACUGGGCUUAAAGGGUGCGUAGGCGGGCCCGUCAGUCGGGGGUGAAAUCCCACGGCCCAACCGUGGGAGUGCCUUCGAUACUGCGGACCUGGAGGGGGAUAGGGGCGCGCGGAACUUCCGGUGGAGCGGUGAAAUGCGUAGAUAUCGGAAGGAACACCGGUGGCGAAAGCGGCGCGCUGGAUCCCUACUGACGCUGAGGCACGAAAGCCAGGGGAGCAAACGGG